GUAGGAGCCGGCUUGCUGGCGAUGAACGUUUACGCGGUUUCCCUGGCAAACCGCGGCGUCUGGAUCGCCAGCAAGCCGGCUCCUAC
rnacentral:misc_RNA from 1 species